GAUGAACGCUCGCGGCAGGCCUAAUACAUGCAAGUCGAACGGGAUCCAGAUCAAAGCUUGCUUUGGUCUGGUGAGAGUGGCGCACGGGUGCGUAACGCGUGAGCAACCUACCCUUGUCAGGGGGAUAGCCCGGCGAAAGUCGGAUUAAUACCGCAUGACAUCAUUGAGAGGCAUCUUUCGAUGAUCAAAGAUUUAUCGGACAAGGAUGGGCUCGCGUGACAUUAGCUAGUUGGUAAGGUAACGGCUUACCAAGGCUGCGAUGUCUAGGGGCUCUGAGAGGAGAAUCCCCCACACUGGGACUGAGACACGGACCAGACUCCUACGGGAGGCAGCAGUAAGGAAUAUGGGUCAAUGGACGGAAGUCUGAACCAGCCAUGCCGCGUGCAGGAGGACGGCCCUAUGGGUUGUAAACUGCUUUUAUACGGGAACAAACGUCGGUACGGGUACCGGUCUGAGUGUACCGUAAGAAUAAGAAUCGGCUAACUCCGUG
rnacentral:rRNA from 1 species